rnacentral:rRNA from 1 species
UACAGAGGGGGCCAGCGUUAUUCGGAAUUAUUGGGCGUAAAGGGCGCGUAGGCGGCUUUGCGUGUCUUUCGUGAAAUCCCUCGGCUCAACUGAGGACGUGCGGAAGAAACUGCAGGGCUGGAGUCCGGAAGAGGAGAGUGGAAUUCCUGGUGUAGCGGUGAAAUGCGCAGAUAUCAGGAAGAACACCCGUGGCGAAGGCGGCUCUCUGGGACGGUACUGACGCUGAGACGCGAAAGCGUGGGGAGCGAACAGG